CUAACUCAAAUUUAGAAGCUGGUUUUAAGUUAUCAAUGCUGACAAUUCUGUCUUUUCCUUGUUUGUCUUCUAUAAUCAAAGUCCUUAGGUUAAUGACAUGUUUUACCUUUGUAGGUUUCCACCUUGGCCAUAAAGGUUUCGCUGCUUGAACUCUUUCCUGGACAAACUGACCAACCUGUGGUGUCCAAGCUCAUAAAAGAUUUUAUCUCCCUUGAGACUGCAGCAUGCAGAGGUGCAAUUAACACAAUGAAAUCGGGUAUGAAAAACAUUGCAUAAGUGGCAAAGACUCGCUACAGGACCC